rnacentral:tRNA from 1 species
GGUCCCUUCGUCUAUCGGUUAGGACACAUGGUUUUCAUCCAUGAAAGAGGGGUUCGACUCCCCUAGGGACCGCCA